rnacentral:rRNA from 1 species
AUUGAACGCUGGCGGCAGGCUUAACACAUGCAAGUCGAGCGGGGUGAUGGUGCUUGCACUAUCACUUAGCGGCGGACGGGUGAGUAAUGCUUAGGAAUCUGCCUAUUAGUGGGGGACAACAUCUCGAAAGGGAUGCCAAUACCGCAUACGUCCUACGGGAGAAAGCAGGGGAUCACUUGUGACCUUGCGCUAAUAGAUGAGCCUAAGUCGGAUUAGCUAGUUGGUGGGGUAAAGGCCUACCAAGGCGACGAUCUGUAGCGGGUCUGCGAGGAUGAUCCGCCACACUGGGACUGGGACACGGCCCAGACUCCUACGGGAGGCAGCAGUGGGGAAUAUUGGGCAAUGGGGGGAACCCUGAUCCAGCCAUGCCGCGUGUGUGAAGAAGGCCUUAUGGUUGUAAAGCACUUUAAGCGAGGAGGAGGCUCUUUUGGUUAAUACCCAAGAUGAGUGGACGUUACUCGCAGAAUAAGCACCGGCUAACUCUGUGCCAGCCGCCGCGUAAA